AAAGCUAAUUACUCAUCAUUCACUUCAGAAUCCAAGUAUUCAGCUCUCUCUCAGGCUAAUUCUCAACAUGUGUGGAUGAAGAAAACAAAUUCAGACAUUGAUUAUCAACUUCAAAGUUUAUCAAGUUCAUCAUUUGAUUCAUCAAAACCACUAUUUCUUGGAGACAAGGCUCAUCAAGCAGGUAUCACAAUCAAACCACUAAUUUUAUAUAGACUUUCAGCCGUCAGAAAUUCUCUAAGAGUUAUCUCUCACCCUCUCUAAUCUACUUCAUUGUUGGUCCCGCUCACCUUUUGACUUUCAAUGUCAAAAGGGGGAAAAAAUGGACCUAGAACAAGGAUUAUUAUAUCCUUUGUUCAGUAUAUGUGUAUCUUGGUUGAUUACAUUUGUGGGAUUUGAGGUUUUAACAUUAAAAGGCAAAAGGAGGAGAUUAUUGAUUCCAAUGAUUGUUUGCCUUUAUAAUGUCAUAAGGAUGACUUAAGUGUUUCAAUGUCAAAAGGUGAGCUCAUGGUCUAAUCCUGCAGAUUAAAUUAAAGCUUGGUUUGCAUUUUAGUAAUAACACAUUCAAUAGAGGUCAUUUGAAAUCCAUUUGUUAUGGUACAUUACAUCACACACCUCUAUACAUGUUCUUCCUCAGCAUAUUUCUGAUUCAUAUAGUUUCUGGUAAUCAAAAUUAAAAUUUGUCGAGUACAGGGAUAUAUUUGUAAUUACCGGUAUCUGAAUUGUCAUUUUACAUUUGCCCUUGAUGUUACAUUAUGCCAUUGAGCUCAGAGAAUCACAUUUCCAAAACGUAUUCUGCCUACAGUUGCAGAAUUCUGCAUUUCAUGACAUCUGUCCUCUCAAGGGGAAUUUAUGUAAUUCUGUAUGAAGUUCACAGGGGUAUUUAGGUCACUAAAGUAUGCUAAGAUUAUUUGAAAUCCUCUGGGAAAGGUACAUUUUAUCAUAGAUCAUUGUUCACAGGACAACAUAUCAAUUUUCUGGUGCAUUGUAUGUAAAUGAGAAAUCUUUCACAAGGGCAUUUCAGUCUUUUCAAGCAUGUGUAUGGACACUGCAUAUUUACCGUUGGAUGCUACAGUGAUAUUCUAAGCACAGAAAAUUUCAUUUACACUGGAUUUAUAGGCUGCUACGCCAGAUUACUAGUAUAUAUGACAUGUGUCCCCUUCAGGGGCAUAUUGGUCUUUUCAAUGUAGAUGAUGCACAUGACAGACACGUGCACUGUGGUCCUAGAGAGAGUGAUGAUGAUCCACAUUUCAUUGCUUAGGCACAAUGUUUACAAUUGCUUCUCUUUACAGCUGGUAUGUGUGUGUAUGUGUAAGGCUAAAGGGCUGUGUGCACUAGUGGACAAAACAGGUGAGUUGGCAAGCGUUGUGUGGUCCAUUCACUCAAAGUAAUAUCAAAAAAUUCCCUCAACAAUGAUUGGUAGAAGGUAAUAUAUUCCUAUCCAUUUUAGGGCUGCAUUGUCCGGAGUAUAUAUAUGUUGUUAUAGCACUUUGUUGUAUGUGCCUUUUGUGUGAGCUGCGAGAGCCCACUUUGUGAGCUACAUUGUGUGACACUUGAGAGUCCAAAAUAACAUGAAAAUUUUCUGAGUUUUGAUCCAUUGAGUGAGCUGAAAUUCUUCCCAAACAUAUGUAUUGUGAGUGUAUACAAUUAAAGUUGAAGAAUAUGACCUGUUAUAUUGUUUUCCGGUGCAUUGAGAUGGUGCAGAGGCUUGUUUUUGGUGUGAGGCAUCCACAGAAGUUCUAAGGGAUUGAGACAAGUUUGGAUUGACUAUAUACAGCUACAGAAAUCAAGUUUUCUCCAAUAUUCUCACUACAGUAGAUUUUUGUAUCUCAGACCUUAUAAGCUAUUCAGAGCUUUGAAGGUCCAAGCAGGGGUGCUCCGGACAUGGGGAGUGUUGUGUGCACAAAGGUGAGCUAGAGUGUGUACCGAGUGAGAGACAGCCGAGUGUGCAUCGACUUGCUUCACAAUUAGUGAAUUUUGUAUUUGGUGUGUACCCAAGAACCAAGUUUAUUAUCCCUAUUAAGAGAUGUUUUCCUUGAA